AGCAGCCGCGGUAAUUCCAGCUCCAAUAGCGUAUAUUAAAGUUGUUGCAGUUAAAAAGCUCGUAGUUGAAUUUCGGGGUUCAUCCGUUGGUCGGGCUUUUUGGUCUGUACUGGCGUGAUGGAUUCCUACCUUCUGAAUAACCGGCAUGUCAUUAAUUUGGUGCGCCGGGGAAGCAGGACUGUUACCUUGAAAAAUUAGAGUGCUUAAAGCAGGCUAUUGCCUGAAUACAUUAGCAUGGAAUAAUGAAAUAGGGCGGCAUGGUUCUAUUUUGUUGGUUUCUAGGAUCACCGUAAUGAUUAAUAGGGAUAGUUGGGGGCAUUAGUAUUCAAUUGUCAGAGGUGAAAUUCUUGGAUUUAUUGAAGACUAACUUCUGCGGAAGCAUUUGCCAAGGAUGUUUUCAUUAAUCAAGAACGAAAGUUAGGGGAUCGAAGACGAUCAGAUACCGUCGUAGUCUAACCAUAAACUAAUGCCGACUAGGGAUCGGAUGAUGUUAA
rnacentral:rRNA from 1 species